UGCCAGCCGCCGCGGUAAUACGAGGGGGGCAAGCGUUGUUCGGAAUUACUGGGCGUAAAGGGCGUCUAGGUGGUUUGAUUAGUUGGAUGUGAAAUCCCUGAGCUCAACUCAGGAACUGCAUCCAAAACUGUCAAACUAGAGUGUGAGAUGGGAAGGCGGAAUUCCUGGUGUAGCGGUGAAAUGCGUAGAUAUCAGGAGGAACACCAGCGGCGAAGGCGCUCUGCUGGGCCAUCACUGACGCUCAUGGACGAAAGCUAGGGGAGCAAACAGGAUUAGAUA
rnacentral:rRNA from 1 species